GUGGGGAAUAUUGGACAAUGGGGGGAACCCUGAUCCAGCCAUGCCGCGUGUGUGAAGAAGGCCUUUUGGUUGUAAAGCACUUUAAGCGAGGAGGAGGCUACCGAGAUUAAUACUCUUGGAUAGUGGACGUUACUCGCAGAAUAAGCACCGGCUAACUCUGUGCCAGCAGCCGCGGUAAUACAGAGGGUGCAAGCGUUAAUCGGAUUUACUGGGCGUAAAGCGCGCGUAGGUGGCCAAUUAAGUCAAAUGUGAAAUCCCCGAGCUUAACUUGGGAAUUGCAUUCGAUACUGGUUGGCUAGAGUAUGGGAGAGGAUGGUAGAAUUCCAGGUGUAGCGGUGAAAUGCGUAGAGAUCUGGAGGAAUACCGAUGGCGAAGGCAGCCAUCUGGCCUAAUACUGACGCUGAGGUACGAAAGCAUGGGGAGCAAACAGGAUUAGAUACCCUAGUAGUCC
rnacentral:rRNA from 1 species